rnacentral:rRNA from 1 species
GAUGAACGCUGGCGGCGUGCUUAACACAUGCAAGUCGAACGGACCUUCGGGUCAGUGGCGGACGGGUGAGUAACGCGUGAGAAUCUGCCCUCAGGAGGGGGAUAACGGCUGGAAACGGCCGCUAAUACCCCAUAUGCCGCGAGGUGAAAUGAAUUUCGCCUGAGGAUGAGCUCGCGUCUGAUUAGCUAGUUGGUGGGGUAAAGGCCUACCAAGGCGACGAUCAGUAGCUGGUCUGAGAGGAUGAUCAGCCACACUGGGACUGAGACACGGCCCAGACUCCUACGGGAGGCAGCAGUGGGGAAUUUUCCGCAAUGGGCGAAAGCCUGACGGAGCAACGCCGCGUGAGGGAUGAAGGCCUCUGGGCUGUAAACCUCUUUUCUCAAGGAAGAAGAUCUGACGGUACUUGAGGAAUAAGCCACGGCUAAUUCCGUGCCAGCAGCCGCGGUAAUACGGGAGUGGCAAGCGUUAUCCGGAAUUAUUGGGCGUAAAGCGUCCGCAGGCGGCCCUGUAAGUCUGUCGUUAAAGCGUGGAGCUCAACUCCAUUUCAGCGAUGGAAACUACAGGGCUUGAGUGUGGUAGGGGCAGAGGGAAUUCCCGGUGUAGCGGUGAAAUGCGUAGAUAUCGGGAAGAACACCAGUGGCGAAGGCGCUCUGCUGGGCCAUAACUGACGCUCAUGGACGAAAGCCAGGGGAGCGAAAGGGAUUAGAUACCCCUGUAGUCCUGGCCGUAAACGAUGAACACUAGGUGUCGGGGGAAUCGACCCCCUCGGUGUCGUAGCCAACGCGUUAAGUGUUCCGCCUGGGGAGUACGCACGCAAGUGUGAAACUCAAAGGAAUUGACGGGGGCCCGCACAAGCGGUGGAGUAUGUGGUUUAAUUCGAUGCAACGCGAAGAACCUUACCAGGGUUUGACAUCCUGCGAACCUCCUGGAAACGGGGGGGUGCCUUCGGGAGCGCAGUGACAGGUGGUGCAUGGCUGUCGUCAGCUCGUGUCGUGAGAUGUUGGGUUAAGUCCCGCAACGAGCGCAACCCACGUCGUUAGUUGCCAGCAUUCAGUUGGGCACUCUAGCGAGACCGCCGGUGAUAAACCGGAGGAAGGUGUGGAUGACGUCAAGUCAUCAUGCCCCUUACAUCCUGGGCUACACACGUACUACAAUGCUACGGACAAAGGGCAGCAAGCUCGCGAGAGUUAGCAAAUCCCAUAAACCGUGGCUCAGUUCAGAUCGUAGGCUGCAACUCGCCUACGUGAAGGAGGAAUCGCUAGUAAUCGCAGGUCAGCAUACUGCGGUGAAUACGUUCCCGGGCCUUGUACACACCGCCCGUCACACCAUGGAAGUUGGCCACGCCCGAAGUCGUUACUCCAACCCUUGUGGAGGAGGACGCCGAAGGUGGGGCUGAUGACUGGGGUGAAGUCGUAACAAGGUAGCCGUACCGGAAGGUGCGGCUGGAUCACCUCCUAA